CCGCAUGAGAGGGGCGAUGGUUCCCCGACGCCUAAGGCCGGUGGGAUGAAAAGGGAAUUCGGUGCGGAGGAGCCAAAGGGCGCCAAAUCCGAAACUGCCCCCGCAACUGUAAGCGGCGAGCGCCCCGUCACAGCCCACUGAUCCUCAUGGAUCGGGAAGGGAGGGACGCGCAAUAACCCGCAAGUCAGGAGACCUGCCAUCGCGACUUUUUAACC
rnacentral:ncRNA from 2 species